AAGAGACAGCAGCAUCCACGGUAAUACAGAGGGUGCGAGCGUUAAUCGGAUUUACUGGGCGUAAAGCGUGUGUAGGUUGUUGUUCAAGUCAGUUGUGAAAUCCCUGGGCUCAACCUGGGAACUGCUUCUGAGACUGAACGACUAGAGUACGGUAGAGGGUGGUGGAAUUUCCGGUGUAGCGGUGAAAUGCGUAGAUAUCGGAAGGAACAUCAAUGGCGAAGGCAGCCACCUGGGCCUGUACUGACACUGAGACACGAAAGCGUGGGGAUCAAACAGGAUUAGAGACCCCCGUAGUCCCUGUCUCUUAUAC
rnacentral:rRNA from 1 species